rnacentral:rRNA from 1 species
UGGAUCCAGACUUUGAUCCUGGCUCAGGAUGAACGCUAGCUACAGGCUUAACACAUGCAAGUCGAGGGGAAACGAUAGAGAAAGCUUGCUUUUUCUAGGCGUCGACCGGCGCACGGGUGAGUAACGCGUAUCCAACCUGCCCAUCACUUGGGGAUAACCUUGCGAAAGUAAGACUAAUACCCAAUGAUAUCUCAAGAAGACAUCUGAAUGAGAUUAAAGAUUUAUCGGUGAUGGAUGGGGAUGCGUCUGAUUAGCUUGUUGGCGGGGUAACGGCCCACCAAGGCUACGAUCAGUAGGGGUUCUGAGAGGAAGGUCCCCCACAUUGGAACUGAGACACGGUCCAAACUCCUACGGGAGGCAGCAGUGAGGAAUAUUGGUCAAUGGGCGAGAGCCUGAACCAGCCAAGUAGCGUGCAGGAUGACGGCCCUAUGGGUUGUAAACUGCUUUUAUAAGGGAAUAAAGUGAGCCUCGUGAGGCUUUUUGCAUGUACCUUAUGAAUAAGGACCGGCUAAUUCCGUGCCAGCAGCCGCGGUAAUACGGAAGGUCCGGGCGUUAUCCGGAUUUAUUGGGGUUUAAGGGAGCGUAGGCCCGGAGAUUAAGC